rnacentral:pre_miRNA from 7 species
AACCGCCAGUGAAAAGGGCAUUUUCACUGGCGGUUUUCUUAAGAGAACCGCCAGUGAAAAUGCACUUUUCACUGGCGGUU